AUACGGGGGGUGCAAGCGUUAUUCGGAUUUAUUGGGCGUAAAGAGCGCGUAGGCGGCUUGGUAAGUCAGAUGUGAAAGCCCGGGGCUCAACCCUGGAAGUGCAUUUGAAACUAUCAGGCUUGAGUAUGGGAGAGGGAAGUGGAAUUCCUGGUGUAGAGGUGAAAUUCGUAGAUAUCAGGAGGAACACCGGUGGCGAAGGCGACUUCCUGGACCAAUACUGACGCUGAGGCGCGAAGGCGUGGGGAGCAAACAGGAUUAGAAACCCCAGUAGUCC
rnacentral:rRNA from 1 species